UGGGGAAUUUUGGACAAUGGGCGCAAGCCUGAUCCAGCCAUGCCGCGUGCGGGAAGAAGGCCUUCGGGUUGUAAACCGCUUUUGUCAGGGAAGAAACGCUCUGGGCUAAUACCCUGGGGUAAUGACGGUACCUGAAGAAUAAGCACCGGCUAACUACGUGCCAGCAGCCGCGGUAAUACGUAGGGUGCAAGCGUUAAUCGGAAUUACUGGGCGUAAAGCGUGCGCAGGCGGUUAUGCAAGACAGAUGUGAAAUCCCCGGGCUCAAUCUGGGAACUGCAUUUGUGACUGUAUAGCUAGAGUACGGUAGAGGGGGAUGGAAUUCCGCGUGUAGCAGUGAAAUGCGUAGAUAUGCGGAGGAACACCGAUGGCGAAGGCAAUCCCCUGGACCUGUACUGACGCUCAUGCACGAAAGCGUGGGGAGCAAACAGGAUUAGAUACCCUGGUAGUCCCUGAGCGGGCUGGCAAGGCGCAU
rnacentral:rRNA from 1 species